CUCUCGCCCCCACAAUUGGGUUUAAAAGCGGGCACCUGGAGGUGAGGAGAAAGAGAGAGGCCUGGUGAGUCAGAGCUGGUUGAAGCACCGACUGGAGGAGCAAGGAAAGGUGGCUGUGAUUUUUGUCGUCUAAGCAGUCACGUUUACAAGAAUUUCCCACUGCAUGGAGCUGUGACAUAAACACUGCAGACAAAAUACCAGUUUCUGAUGAUCAAAAUGGAAUCUUAUUUUCAGAGAGGAGGAAUGCAGCAUUUAGAAAAUCCUACCAGCUCCCCAAAUAUGCUGUAUGAACAGAAGUCUCCAGCCUAAGUAUGUGUAUGGUCCCCAUCACCAUGCUACGUGAGCAGUAAUGGAUUGAUUGUGCAAUACCCCUGCCAAGGGCCGGCUCCAGCGCUUUUGCCGCCUCAAGUGGCAAAAAAAACAAAACAAAAAACCUUGCCACCCAACACGGAGGCGGAGUGAUGGUGCGGCUGCCGAAUUGUCGCCGGCGACCGAAGAAGAGUCGCGUCCCCACCGCCGAAUUGCCGCCGAGCGCGAAACGCGCUGUGACGGAGUGGCCGCCUAAUUGCCGCCGCCGCCGAGGGCGGAUUGCCGCCCCAGAGCCCGACCUCCUGCCGCCCCUUUACAUUUGCUGCCCCAGGCACCUGCUUGGUUCACUGGUGCCUGGAGCCGGCCCUGCUUCUUAAAUAUUAUUGUUGUGAUGACAUUUUAAACAUAUUUAGCGGACAAAUAUUGCAUGUGGGCUUUUUCACAGCCUUACAGGAUCUUUAAAUCUGGACUCUCCGGGGCUUUGAACUCUGCUCCUUUAGUAUUUCUUUUUUGGAUGGUAUAUUUGAAGUGGCUGCUGUUUACCCUCUAGCCAUUUAGUCUCCGAUUUCAUCGAGCUGUUUGCAUCGUGCAGUAUGUCUGCAGCUUUGAAACAUUCAUAGAGAGGGAGUUAAAAUGAAAUUGUUGCCAUGAUAAAUGUUCAUUUCAUUAUUGUGUCUUGGGCCUACAUUGGGGGCUGAAUCCAGUUCAGUAAGAAUAUAAUGGACCAUUAAAAAUACUUAGGCCAGAUUCUGAUCUCAUUUACACUAAUGUAAAUCCAGAGUAAGUCCAAAGUGUUGGAGAUCAGAAUCUGGCCCCCAGUUUUCAGCCAAGAAUACGAGUGUUUGCCUGGCAGAGUUUAUCACAAAAUGCAUGUUUUUCUUGCAGCCAAAUGAAUGCAUCUUUCUCCCCAAUCCUUUGUUAAAAUCCAAGGCCUUUCAGCUUAUUCUUUGCUGUUCUCAAGUUUGGGCAAAAAAUUGUAAUUUAAAUAAUAAACUGUUAUAUUCUAGAAUUACCAAAAGCUCAUUAAAUGGUCUAAGGUAAAAUAACGAUAGUGACACAGAAAUACAGUUCUCAGUUACCCUCGUGUAAAUUCCUAAUAAUGCCUUUGAAGUCAAUGGUGUGACUCCAGAUU